CUCGAAUUAGAUUAAACCACUUGAGUAAUAACCCAAGCCAGGGAGGACUAAAUUUCCCAAAUAUCAAAAAACAUUAUGAAGCCAGUAUAGUUUACCAUAUACAGACUCUAACUAAAAGGGAGAUGAGGGAAACAGGAUGGUUUUGACUAGAAACAGACCAACUGAUCAUAAAAUAUCUGAACAAAAUUAUAUGGCAGGAAACUGGGUAUGGAAAAUGUAAAAGAAAGAAAUAAUAGCAUUCUAACUCAUAUUAUUCCAACAUGGUCUAAGAUUAAAAACACCAUGCAGUGCAAUGGGAAAAUAUAUGGUUUUAUUGAACUGGAGAUUUUGGAAUCUCUCAUAGAUGACAUAAAUUUAGAUAAAUGGAAAGAUAGAAAUAUUAAGGAUAAUUUGAUGAAGAAAGGGAAAAUUAAACCUUUUUCUGUUUUAGUAAAGGAAUAUGAUCUCCCCAAUUUUGGGAUAUUC